AAUCGAGUCAGCCGACCUACUAUAUGUAACUGAUUCUGAACGAACUCGUCUUUGAGAUGAACGUUUUCUAACGCAUUUUUAGUCAAUAAAAUGUUAAUACAAUAGUACAUAUUUGACCAUUAAUUUUGUGACAUUAUAAGGGAAGCCGAGCUUCCCUUGCAGUCUUAAAGAAAUCGCCACUGAUAUAUAUAUAUACGGUUUGAGGUUAACUGCUGGAAGGUGUGCAGUAAAACCGUUUAAUGCACAGGUAGUUCCAGUCAGUUUGAUUACAGUUCGAAAUUAAUCCGCUACUAUAAACAUUGGUAACCAUAGUAACACAGUUACACUUGCAAACAGAGUGAGAGACACAUAUGAAAACGUUUAUUUAGGUAGGCUAAAUGGAUGAUUUUUGCAUAUCGUUUAAUUUGUAUGGUGAAUAUAGUAAUUUUGAGAAAUGGGCCCAGGCACAAGACGAAAUAGAUGACUUGGAGAAGACGUUGAAUGACAAAAAGCGGCACAAAGAAUUAACACCGGAAGAGCUAGAUAAGAUCGAAGAUGAAACCGUAACCUAUCAAAAGAGUCUUUCGUUCUCCGGCAAGACGAGAAUGGGAAAGAGUACCUGACCCUGGCGCAUAACCCAGAGACAAAAAACCACAAGGAUCCCACUGCAUCGGAUAGGGAAAAUUUACGAGGAUUUAUGUUUGCGAGCCCCGGCGACCCACUUUGUCCCGUGGACAGCUUCAAAAAAAUAUGUCAAAGUGUCCAUAAAAUGCCGGAGCAUCCCUCUGUGCAAACUCGAGCACCGAAGUGUGGUUCACCAGGGAGCCGACCUUGGUAAUAUGCUAAAAAAUAUUUGUGAAGAGGUGGUGGAAGGUAUCUCACAAAUGUACACAAACCAUAGUUUGCUGAGCACUGCUGUUGGACGACUCUCUGAUGCAGGACUACCCUAGUGAAAAAAAAGAGACGAGAGGCGCUGAUUGGGCCAUGGUAGAUCGACGGGUAAAUCCACCAAUCACAGCGUGCUUUUCUCGUGACGUAGGAACAUUUGAAAUUGACGAACAGCGCGAAUGGUAGUUGAAGAAAUUGGCGCAAAAUGUCCCUGGUCUGAUUGCCUUUUUGACGGAAAAAGCGAGUACGGACUCGUUCACAAACAGAGUAGCGGCAGAUACAGAGUUGUGAUGGAGGAUGUUUUACCCGCUGGGACAGUUUGUGGCCCAAACAACAGAACUGUCUCCUGGUCAACGGAACUCUGCCCUCAACAAUAAAUACUGGAAUAAUCCAGACGGCCUACUUAAAUAUGGACACUGAUGAUGCAACAAAAAGUCUUCAUUUACAACAAAGGUACUUUGGGGCUGACAGACAGCCAUCGUGAAGGACACAAUCUGGCAAAAAUUUACCUGCAGAAGUGAAUGGAGUUUUGUUGUAAAUCUUAAUAAAAUGUCCUUUAGAAACAGUUUGUAGUAAUUAUUUACUAAUAUUUUCAAGAACAAAAUUAUGUUGGUUUAAGAAAUGCAACAUAUUGUUAACCUAUUUGAACAUUAUU